AAAAAAAUCGGUUUAAAAAAUACAAAGUUAAUAGCUUUAAAUAUAACCUUAACUUCAUUAAUUUAAAAUUUAUGCAAUCUGCUAAAUGUAUGUUGUUGUUGUUUUUUUUUUUCUCUGUUAUUUCUUCAUUAUUUAUUCUAUUGUUCUAUGAAAUAAUAGAUUUUGUGUGUGAGUUAGCGUUGAGGGGUUUCUCACUGUAACAUUUUAAACAGCUAUUAAGACGCCAGACAUCUAAGUAACACUUGUACCAGUACAGCUGACAAAUACAGCUGUUGGGCUACAGAUGAACUCAAGGCAAGCCACAGAGUGGCCUGUCCAGCCUUUCAAACACAGCUUCCUCAAACAUUACAUGAGCGAUUCCUGUGCACCACUGUAGAGGAGCAGUUUGUAGCACCUGGACAAGGUGAGAGCACGCCCUGGAUUUAUAGUGGAAUUCACAUAACCUCAAGGUGAACUAGCCAGUACUGAUACUAUCUCUACACUCAGUCCUCUCUCUCAUCUUCACACCUCCUAGGAAGCAAAAUGUGUCCAGAGUCAAGCAUCCUGCCAGCUCCUGCCACUAUUUCUUGGCAACAUUUUCCAUCAGAAUAAGGGUCAUUCUUUUAGAGAGGUGUCCCCCAUUCACACUGAAGAGCCUGUAAUGUUGUUGAAUGACUCGAGAAGUCUUUCAGAUGUCGCUUACAGAUGCCUUUAAAUCUCAAAAGAGAGAAGUGAGCCUAGAGCACUUGGGAUGGAGUGAGAGUGAGUUAUUGAUAAGACACAAUCACAUAAAGUCGACAAAUGAGUGGUCAUCAAAAUGUGCUGAAAGAUAAAAUGGAGCAUAAAACAGAUAUUGAGGAAUACAGGACACAAGCUUCAAACCUGUCUGUAAUGUUGUUUGUGUGUGUGUGCAUGAAGGAAUCUGGUGUCAUGGUGAAGUGUCUUGUGUUUUGGUGGUUUUGGCCUUGCCUGUUUGGGCAAGGUGUGCCAACAGUGCUGGCCCAACCUCACCUCUAAACCAUCAGCAGCAAUGAGCGGUCCUGCAUGUAAGGCCAGCACGAACUUCCACUGUCUCCACACUUCCACAGCUCUCCAGAUUGCUGGUCAUUCCUGCAACGACUGACCUGCUUGCUUGUUCUCGGAGCUUUGGAUUUCCUGGAUCACUCACCUCCCUGCCUCUCUGCUUCAGGAAACACCUGUCACAGGAAUUCCUUGGAUCCUUCUCUGUCUGGAACAUCUAGACACUUACCUGGAUGAUUCCUUUCUCCCCUCCAAGCUUUGCGACUCUGUUGACAGAUGGAUUCCUCACCAGUGACUCUAGUUUUCCCUCCUGCCUUGUGAUUAAAUCUCCUGAGAAAAGAAUAAAUAAAGCUUUCCAUUCUAGUGAAACAUUUUGUCUUUUUGUACCACCUUUUCACUCCGGCCCAAUCUGCCUCGUGACAUCUGAUGACAUGCUGUAGAUUUUAAAGAGGAUACUUGUAUUUUUUUUUUUCAUUUGCGUCUGGUUUUUGAGUUUUGCAUUCUUGUUAAUGUUUGGAUUCUGGGAUUCACUGGGUUUAAUUAUAAUAACUUUAUGAUUUGUUUUUAGUUGAGUUUUGAUUCAUUGUUUAUUUUCAAAUCAU